rnacentral:rRNA from 1 species
UACGUAGGGUGCGAGCGUUAAUCGGAAUUACUGGGCGUAAAGCGUGCGCAGGCGGUUUUGUAAGCCAGAUGUGAAAUCCCCGGGCUUAACCUGGGAAUGGCAUUUGAAACUCCCCUUCUUGAGUACCGGAGAGGAAAGUGGAAUUCCUGGUGUAGAGGUGAAAUUCGUAGAUAUCAGGAGGAACACCAGUGGCGAAGGCGGCUUUCUGGACGGUAACUGACGCUGAGACGCGAAAGCGUGGGGAGCAAACAGG